UAGAUUUGCGGUUGCGGUGCAGUUAAAUCUGAAAUUCUGAACCUGAAAUUAGCGCUCCUGUGAGUGUUCUGCAAACUAACACGUGUAAUGAACUUUGGUUGAAUUUUUUCAUUUUUUUUAAUCAAUCAAACGUAAUGUGGCAAACUGGCAAUGUAAGUUGGCUGUAAAAUUUUCGUUUUCUUACGCAGAAAUAUAAAUAAUAUUUAAAAUGUCGGAUACUUCUGCUUGGAAAUAUGCAUAUGACCAAAUGCUUGUUUCGUAUACUGAAGUCUGCAGAGCGAAAAUUAAUGCAGAAAUGAAGUUGAAAGAGAUCCAAGAAAAAUAUAAUAAAGUAUACGGCGCCGAAGUUGUUCGCAGUGAGAUAGAGAACAGAGAGAUGCUUUGGUGUGAUCGCAGCUUCAAGGAAGAUCGAUCGUCAUUCACCGGUAUGGAUUCAAUUGCAAUAUCGUAUGAAGUUAGGAUGCAGAAAUGGUUCUAUAUGAUGACGACUUGCACCGAUAGUGGAGUUAUUUUUCUAAGAAAGUUGAUCUUACUUCAUCAUCUCGAUCCCAAGUAUUAUAAAAACUUCAAAGGUGCAUCCUAUAAAUCAGUCCUUAAAUUAUCCGGUUAUUUUAAAUUCGUUGAAUUGAACAAGUUGCGCAUCGAACAUUUGCAAAAGAAUUAUCAGAAACAGGAUUCUUUUAUUUGCGCUUUGCUAGAUUACCUAUUAAAUAAUCAAUAUCUAGAUGGAAAACCACCGACUCAUGAUACUUUUACUCCUUGGUACCUUCGGCAGUUUUCAGAAUUCGCCAAGAACGUUGCCGAAAUUCACUCGGUAAUAUGCCAUAAAAUUCAUAGAGCUCGAUUUGCAAAAGACGAUAUUGAUAUCCCAAUAGAAUACGAUAUUUUAGAAAAGCCGGAACUGAAAGUUGUUAUUAGUUUUAUUAUGUCCUUUUACGAGUAGAAGAAUUUGUAAUCGAUUGAAAAUACCCACAUUUUCAAGCACGA